rnacentral:lncRNA from 1 species
CCAGGUCACUGCAGCAGCCUCAAACUGUGGAGGCUGUGCAUGUUUCAAAGCCAUUUCCCACAUUGCUGGCAGGAUGAUCUUCCUGAAGCACAAAUCUGACCUACUGCCAUUUGCCAAAACAAGGUGGUGGGAGCAAGAAUGCUCAUGUGUUGGUUACCAAGACAAAUAACCCUGAGGCUUCAGGAGUCUGGGAGUUUGAAACUUGAAGAUACUAGAAGACAACAGGCAUCCAAGCUCAAAAUAAUGAAACUGGAGUGGAAGCCUCAGACACACCUACCAGCUGACACUGCCUUCACCCUUGCUUGCAAUUUGACCCUGAAAAUUCAGGGAAAUGGGAGUGACAGUUCACCCCUACAGGACAAGAAUAGUUUUCUUUAUUUUUUAAAUAAUAUUUUUAUUUAUUUUAUUUUUUUAGAUGGAGUUUUGCUCUUGUCACCCAGGCUGGAGUGCAAUAGUGCGACUCGGCUCCCUGCAACCUCUGCCUCCCAGGUUCAAGUGAUUCUCCUGCUUCAGCCUCCCGAGUAGCUGGGAUUACAGGCGCCUGCCACCAUGCCCAGCUAAUUUUUGUAUUUUUAGUAGAGACAGGGUUUCACCACAUUGGCCAGGCUGGUCUGAAACUCCUGACCUCAGGUGAUCCACCCGCCUCAGCCUCCCAAAGUGCUGGGAUUAUAGGCGUGAGCCACUGCACCCAGCCAAGAAUAGUUUCCUAGUGUAACCAACGACUCUUACUCUUUCUGGUUGGGUACAAUGAACUCCCUGAGUGGUAUCCUAAGAUCCACCACCUGAGGCCCCUCAUGCCUCCAUUAGCAGGAAGACCAAAUUUUGUCCCACCAGCUCAUCUUUCAUGAUAUUCCAGAGCCCCAGAGGGCUUCCCCCGUACAAUGGGUCAGUCCUGUCACUGUUCCCUCUUAGGAAGAUACCAGAAGUGUGGACAUUCCAUCAAAGAGACCUCUUCUCUGCUGUUGUUACCACUGCAUGCUGUAACUAGAAGUCAAGCAUCUCUGCGCAGUCCUGCUUACUUAAGAAAAACCCCAUGUCUUCUUUAGCAACUUCAAGAUUCAUGUAUCAGUGAUUAUUGGGAAGAACUGACCUCCUCCAGCUUUCCUGGAGCUGCAGCUCCUUCCUCUGUGUUUCUAUAGUAUGCUUUUAAGCCACACCUCUUUGGCAGCACUUUCCACAUAGUCUUGUUCUUUACAUUUAUCUGCCCAUCUUUGUGAGCGCUCAGAACAUGUAUAGUGCCUAGUUGGUAGAGGGGGUAAAUAUGGGUUGAAUAAAUGAAUGACUGAAUGCUACCUUAAGAAAUAUCUAGAAACCUUGCUUAUAUUCAUACAGACCUGGAAGUGAGUAAAGGAGAAAUCUGGGGAGUAAAAGCAGGCUAAAAUCUUCAAGUUGCAUAAAAAGCGUCAAAAGAUGCUAUUUAAGGCCUGGCGCAGUGGCUCACACCUGUAAUCCCAGCACUUUGGGAGGCCGAGGCAGGCAGAUCACUAGGUCAGGAGAUC